AGACCAUAAACAACUCUCACUCAGUAAACAUGGAAGACCGAAUGAGCCAUCAUCCAUAUGCUGUUAGACUGACAUCACGUAGUUGUGAGGAGACUGGAGGGCAGGUAUCUCUCAUAUGCUGCUGCUGAGAGUAUAAAAUGCCAUGGCUACCCUAGAAAACAGCUAAGACAGCUUCUUAUAACAGUUAUUAACACUUUACCACAAGGCCCAGUCGGCAUACUUCUGGAUGUUCACCUAAAAACUUGCAUACAAUCACCCGCUGCAGCUAAAGGCAUCAAGUUCGCUGGCCCCAGAGGCAGAAACAAGAUGAUGGAGCGAAUGUCCUGUUAUAGAAAGCGCAGGAAUAACAUGCAAUGUGCUCCUGCCAUGGCUCAAGAAGAAGUGUAAAUGGUGUGUCAAAGCUAAGAAGCAGGACACUGGGACAAAUGAGGCGUCAUGGAGUCUGUGAAGGCACCACAGCUGACCCCAGGGGGACAGCUGCUAUUGCAGCAUGCAGUUCAUCUUGAAGAUUUCAAUGAUCAACCAUAAAAUGCAUGUUCUGGUCACAAACUGAAAGAAAAAGAGGGUCUGUCAACAGGCUAAUGCUUAAGCUGAGGCAAACCCCAACUAUGGACACGCCUCAGCAAUAGAAGAGAUGAGCUGUAUUACACUGUCACAAGGCUUGGACAGGCAUCAAAGGAAUUACACUGUGGGGGGCAAAAAGAAAAUCUCAAAGGU
rnacentral:lncRNA from 1 species